AAAUUUUUAACUUGUGACAUUUUCAACUUAUGAUGGGCUUAUGGGGACAUAACCCACCUUGAGUUUGAGGAACCCUUGUAAUUGCACCAUGUUCUAACCUUCCUUCUUACUUUCCUUCAGGAUGCCCUUAAUAUUCAUUUUAACUCGAUUUCAUUUGAACAAAGUUGCCGGAAAUGAGAAGUGUUGGAAUCUCACCAACCAUUACCAUACCGUGUCUUCUUCCAGAACAGACCUGGGCUGGGACACAGAUCCAGAAAAAGCUGGCAACAAGAAUAGAAGAACUGCAAACAAUGCAGCCUGCCUUUGCCAAGACACAAAUAGGAAGAAGCAUUUGAAAGGACCAUGUACGGUAUCAAAUUAUCUGCAAAGAUGAAGAAAGUAAUGACUUACAUUCUCCGUCCUCUGACUGGGUGAUUCAUCAAAGUGGAAGACGAAGCAGUUGGAGAUGAAAGUCACUCCCAAAAGAAGGCAAAAAGGAUGAGCUUGGAAAGAGCCAAUUUAAUUAGACAAGUUCACAUGGGACCAGAGUAUCUGUGACUGGGGGGGGGCACCUAAGUGUUUUGUUCUUCUUUAUGUCCUGCACAGCCUUUGACAAAGUUUAGGCCUGACUCACUACGUUCAUCUGGAUCAUGGGUAGCUUGAGACGCACCCCCUGCACACAGGGUAACCUGUGUACAUACACAGACAAUAGCGGUUGUGUUUUGCACACUGGGUUAGACUGAAGGGGAGAAAUAGGUGUCCCUGAUCUGCCUGGCAUCAAAAGGUUCCUCUUGGUAGUCUCCGGCUAUUUUUGUAAUGGUAUAUCGAAAUAGAACUCACACACCACACUAUCUACCCAUUUGCAUUUCCUAAAUAUUUUCUUGUUUAAAAAUCUGCCUUAUUCAAUGACUGCAAUCUCCACGAGGGUGACGUCCUCGCAGGCUUUGUUUAUCAGUGCACACCCAGCAGUGAUCCUACCACACCCAUACUGCAGCCACUCAGCCACUGCAUCUUGUCAGAAAGAACAGAUGAGCAAAGACACAACAAUCGGAUUUCGAGGCUCAGAAAUAUGCCUGAAAAACCCGCUCCCUUUUGGGGUUUGCUGCCAGAUCACAGGCAAUUUUUAAAAUCAGAAGACAUCAAAGAGUGAAGAAAACACUUCCAUUUGGUAGGGGGAAAAAACCCACACCUACUCUGUUCUCUGAUGAAUUCUCACUCCACAUGAGCUAUUGUUUGACCCCAGAUACGACAAAAAAGGAUCUUGGAGGGGACUGUAAGCAUGGUGAAGCGGAAGAAUCCGGCCAUAUCCCUCCCAAUGUUUGUUGUUGGGUCCUCAUCCUCCACACUCAGUAAUUCCUGAGGAAGUCCUAGGCCAAGGCCAGGUGGAAAACGAAGACAGGAGAUGUCUCCCCAGCUUUCUUUCCAGUUGGCCUCUAAAUGGGACAAUGGAUCACACGUGCUUGGGAUAGGUCGAAAGAAAAGGGAGAUCUAAUGCUGAGUUCUCAGGGCAGACUUUGAGCACAGAAGAAAUGUAGAGAAGGAAGAGAGAGGGCUGUGGAGAGGCAGUGUAUGAAUUGUGUCCUGGGAAAGCAAGCUUGCCCUGCGCUGGGAGGCACCUGGCUCUGCUAGGGUGGGGAGCUCAAUUUAAGGCCAGUGGGAGGGGCCAGACCAGUGGGAGGG
ensembl:lncRNA